CCAGAGUGAAAGUAACUUUGCACACUGAUGUGUUGUUGGAGCCUCUUUGGUCUGUUUACUCUGAGUUUUAGGAUUUUAUUCUCCAUAAAUCUGAAGAGGAGGUGAUCGCUCACACACCUGAGACUAGCAGAGAGGGCGGAGCCUGGACACCUGAGACUAGCAGAGAGGGCGGAGCCUGGACACCUGAGACUGUCAGAGAGGGCAGAGCCUGGACCCCUGAGACUAUCAGAGAGGGCGGAGCCUGGACACCUGAGACUAUCAGAGAGGGCGGAGCCUGUACACCUGAGAACUACAGGGAGGGCGGAGCUUGGACAUUGAACACAGAGCACCUCCUGUAAGAAGCUGGAGACUCUCAGACUCCUCUGAGAGAGGCUCACCAAGAACAUCCCUGUCUGUGUCUGAUCCAGUAAAAACUCAAGAGUUUAACCAGUCACCAGAUCAUCAGGAGAAAACUUCCAGAAAUGUCGUUAUUACCAGCCAGUGAAGCGAGGGGGGGUCUGGACCUCCCCCCUCAUCUUUACGCUUCCAUGGAAAAACUCAAAAUAAAGUUAUGCGUAUUCAUAGCUUUACACAAUGCUGGAGAACCGAGGAUGAGGGAGAUUGUUAAAGAGUUAGAGACAUUCUUAGCUGCAGUGAGGGAUGAGCUACAGGUGGGGUAUCUAAUCCAGGGAGUGAAGUAUUUUGCUCUCUGGGGUAUAAUCCUGCUGACCAUAGCAGCAGUAGCAGGACUGACAGGAGGAGCAGCAGGAGCAUUAUUGGUCCUGAUACUGGGAGCAGUACUGGGGUUAGGAGCAGGACUGCUGACAGUAGCAGAAAAACAAAUGCCAGCAGGAAUGGUCCUGGCAGCAUUAGCAGCAGUGUUACUGGCAGGAGCAGCAGCAGGAACAGUAGUAGCUCAAACAAUAGGAGUGAUAUUAGCAGUAGUAGCAUCAGCAGCAGGGAUCGCUACAGCAGGAGAAACAGCAGCACAAGAGGACAAACUAGCAAUAAAAGGAGCAGCAGCAGCACUAGCAGCGUCAACGACAGCAGGAGCAGUGCUAGCACUGGUAGUAGGAGCAGAGAUCACUGCAGGGGCACUGUCAGGACUAGCAGGAGCAGUGGGAGCCAUCGUAGCAAUGGCAAUAGUCACUGCUGUUACUGGUAAGAAAAACAGAGGAAGAGUCCUAGAGAGAGGAGCUGCAGAUCGAGUAGUAGCGCUGGUGAAGGAGUUCAGACAGAUUGUUGAACCUCUGAAUAAAGUCCUAGAAGAAAUGGAGAAAAUAAGAAAUCAGACGGCUAAUCGAAUGAACUAAGUUUGAAUGUCAUACACUGAUUUUCACUCAUUCAUACAUUCACUCACUGAUUUAACGCUUUCAUCCUUAACAGCUUUGGCAUAAAUAGAAAUAUCUACAUCUAUAUUUCUACAGAGACAGCCUGCUCUGUAUAAGAGCUGGUUUCAGUUAGAGAGUGAGGAUAUUCUGACCGUAGGGAUGUCUGACCUAAGGAGAAUUAUUCUGAGACUUUUCACCAUCAGGAGACUCUCUGGAUGAAUUCAUCGUCAGAUCUUCUUUCUCUAAUUGGGGGUUGAAGACUCAAGUCUGAGACUUAGAACGAUAAAAUCAAGAAUACAAAACCAGCUGAUCAACCAGGGACUCAUAGAUGAUUAUGGUAUAUCCCUGGGCUUUCUACAACUACAAUACAACUACAUGCUAUUAUAAUCAACAAUACAGUACAACUACACACUAUUAUAAUCAACAAUACAGUACAACUACACACUAUUAUAAUCAACAAUACAGUACAACUACACGCUAUUAUAAUCAACAAUACAGUACAACUACACGCUAUUAUAAUCAACAAUACAGUACAACUACACACUAUUAUAAUCAACAAUACAGUACAACUACACACUAUUAUAAUCAACAAUACAGUACAACUACACGCUAUUAUAAUCAACAAUACAGUACAACUACACACUAUUAUAAUCAACAAUACAGUACAACUACACGCUAUUAUAAUCAACAAUACAGUACAACUACACACUAUUAUAAUCAACAAUACAGUACAACUACACACUAUUAUAAUCAACAAUACAGUACAACUACACACUAUUAUAAUCAACAAUACAGUACAACUACACGCUAUUAUAAUCAACAAUACAGUACAACUACACACUAUUAUAAUCAACAAUACAGUACAACUACACGCUAUUAUAAUCAACAAUACAGUACAACUACACGCUAUUAUAAUCAACAAUACAGUACAACUACACACUAUUAUAAUCAACAAUACAGUACAACUACACACUAUUAUAAUCAACAAUACAGUACAACUACACACUAUUAUAAUCAACAAUACAGUACAACUACACACUAUUAUAAUCAACAAUACAGUACAACUACACGCUAUUAUAAUCAACAAUAAAGUCAAUGAAGAUGACAGGAGCUGAGAGGAAAUCUGAGACUUUUGAUGUUAGGUUUACUGUCUACUCUACAUGCUUCUCUUUAUGCUGAUGAUGUAACUGAAAAUAUUAAUGUUGUUUUA